GGCGAACGCUGGCGGCGUGCUUAACACAUGCAAGUCGAGCGGUAAGGCCCUUUCGGGGGUACACGAGCGGCGAACGGGUGAGUAACACGUGGGUGACCUGCCCUCAGCUCUGGGAUAAGCCUGGGAAACCGGGUCUAAUACCGGAUAUGACUCCAUGACGCAUGUUGUGGGGUGGAAAGCCUUGUGCGGCUGAGGAUGGGCCCGCGGCCUAUCAGCCUGUUGGUGGGGUGAUGGCCUACCAAGGCGACGACGGGUAGCCGGCCUGAGAGGGCGACCGGCCACACUGGGACUGAGACACGGCCCAGACUCCUACGGGAGGCAGCAGUGGGGAAUCUUGCGCAAUGGGCGAAAG
rnacentral:rRNA from 1 species